GACGAACGCUGGCGGCGUGCCUAAUACAUGCAAGUAGAACGCUGAAGGAGGAGCUUGCUCUUCUGGAUGAGUUGCGAACGGGUGAGUAACGCGUAGGUAACCUGCCUGGUAGCGGGGGAUAACUAUUGGAAACGAUAGCUAAUACCGCAUAAUAGUAGAUGUUGCAUGACAUUUGCUUAAAAGGUGCAAUUGCAUCACUACCAGAUGGACCUGCGUUGUAUUAGCUAGUUGGUGGGGUAACGGCUCACCAAGGCGACGAUACAUAGCCGACCUGAGAGGGUGAUGCCACACUGGGACUGAGACACGGCCCAGACUCCUACGGGAGGCAGCAGUAGGGAAUCUUCGGCAAUGGACAGAAGUCUGACCGAGCAACGCCGCGUGAGUGAAGAAGGUUUUCGGAUCGUAAAGCUCUGUUGUAAGAGAAGAACGAGUGUGAGAGUGGA
rnacentral:rRNA from 1 species